rnacentral:rRNA from 1 species
AUGUUCUCUACCAUCCACUUUUAUGUUUUACAGAAGCAAAAGAAGCUCACAGGGUUGGUGCACGAUAUGUGUUAUGUAAUUUCACAUGCAGUUGGGAAGCUCGUGAUUGGGGUUGGGAAGAUAGAUGAUGAUGAAUGGGGGACAAAGGAGGCAGAUCCUAGUACUGCGGAGACAAUCAGGCUGCAGCCUAACAUAAGGGGCAAGCGAGUACCAGCCGGAAGAGACAGCUUACCAAGUGAGGAGGAGUCGUUUAAUUCCAACAGCGACGACAGCGAGGCAGCCGACAGUGAAAGUGAGGGAGAUGGCAGGGAUAAAAGUAGUGAUGAAAGCGACAACGAUGGCAGUUCAGACAGCGAUGAUUGUCAUGAUGGAUCAAGUGGAGUUCAGGGGAAAUCAAGUAGCCAGGGAGCACGACAAACAGUGGAUCACCACGAGGGGGCAAGUGCUGAGAUGGGAGGGAAAGACGGAACUGGGGGGAACGAGGACAAUGAUGAUGAUGAAGAAGAAGAGGAUGACGAAAAAGAAGAUGACGAAGGAAAGGAGGAUGACGACGAUGAAGAAGGCGAUGGGGAUGACAAAGACAAGGAAGAUGAUGGGCAGGGGAAGCAGGAUGAAGAUGAUGAAGAUGACAGCGGAGGUGGCAACGGUGGUUCAGGCAGCAAUGGUGGCUCCGAUCGGGAUGAGGAUCCCGUAGCUGAAAAUGCAAGCAGCGAUGAUGAUGAACAAUGGAUGCUACAAUUUUUGAUUGAAAAGAAGAGGGACAGAAAGGCAAAAGGAUUGGAUGAGGCGGAUAGGAUAUCUAUCAGAGACCUUGUGAUGACGGAAUUCAAAACUGCUGUUUCCCCAAAACCACGCUUCCCUGUUUUUGAAGUGAAAGAAAUGUUGGAUAUUGAUGACAUGUCCAUGGCAACCGAAGCGAGGAGGAUGUUCAAAGAGUUGUUGAGGGGGGACACUUGGAUAUGGUCUUCACAUUCAACCCCAAGGAAAUAUGCCCAAAGGCGACUCGGCAGAAAAUAA